CUCUCCUCACCUAGCGUGAGAUGAAUGCUACCCUAGCAAGUAUGGAGGCACGGCUGUCAGAGGGAAGCCAAAGAUAUUCUACUGUAACUACUGUGUGAGCUUCAAACCAAAGAGGAUGCAUACAGAUGUAAAGAGGAAACGCCAACCUGCCAGCUGCAAGCCACAGGAAAGGGCAGUGUACCACAUGUACCCACUUUCUGUUUGAAGAGGAUGAUGCCAAGGCAUGCAACACUGAGACCGUGGCAGACGCCUGUGCAAGUUGCAUGCUCCCUGUUUGAGAGAGCCUUAAUGCACUUUUUCAUGGAAGACACUAUACAGGUGGACUAGUAGUAAAAUAUGAGUUCAAUGAGAGGUAUAAAUACUCCUCAACACUAUACAAAUAAGUUAUUGAAUGCCUGAGUGUUGAUGCAGUGAACGUUAAAAUUAUAUUUAAAUAUAUAUGUUUGAGUACAUGGUGAAAACUCCCGGAUAUGGCAAAGUUAAAAUUUAUUAAAAAAAAAAAAAAAAAAAAAAAGCAGCAAUUGACCAUAAA